rnacentral:rRNA from 1 species
AANUACGUGCCAGCAGCCGCGGUAAUAUGUAGGUGGCGAGCGUUGUCUGGAAUUAUUNGGCGUAAAGCGCGCGCAGGCGGUCUUUUAAGUCUGAUGUGAAAGCCCCCGGCUCUACCGUGGAGGGUCAUUGGAAACUGGGGGACUUGAGUGCAGAAGAGGAAAGUGGAAUUCCACGUGUAGCGGUGAAAUGCGUAGAGAUUUGGAGGAACACCAGUGGCGAAGGNGACUUUCUGGUCUGUAACUGACGCUGAGGCGNGAAAGCGUGGGGAGCAAACAGGAUUAGAUACCCUGGUUGUNCACGCCGUAAACGAUGAGUGNUAAGUGUUAGGGGGUUUCCGCCCCUUAGUGCUGCAGCUAACGCAUUAAGCACUCCGCCUGGGGAGUACGGUCGCAAGANUGAAACUCAAAGGAAUUGACGGGGGCCCGCNCNANCGGUGGAGCAUGUGGUUUAAUUNGAAGCAACGCGAAGANCNNNACCAGGUCUUGACAUCCCGUUGACCACGUAGAGAUAUGGUUUUCCCUUCGGGGACAACGGUGACA